ACCCGCUGAACUUAAGCAUAUCAAUAAGCGGAGGAAAAGAAACCAACAGGGAUUGCCUUAGUAACUGCGAGUGAAGCGGCAAAAGCUCAAAUUUGAAAUCUGGUGCCUUCGGCGCCCGAGUUGUAAUUUGGAGAGACAUCUUCGGAGUAGACGCCGUCCUAAGUUCCUUGGAACAGGACGUUACAGAGGGUGAGAAUCCCGUGCCUGGAUGGCUGUUCUACUUCAUGUGAAGUGUCUUCGACGAGUCGAGUUGUUUGGGAAUGCAGCUCAAAAUGGGAGGUAAAUUUCUUCUAAAGCUAAAUACUGGCGAGAGACCGAUAGCGCACAAGUAGAGUGAUCGAAAGAUGAAAAGCACUUUGAAAAGAGAGUUAAAAAGUACGUGAAAUUGUUGAAAGGGAAGCGCUUGAGACCAGACUCGACCAGUGGUGAUCAGCGGUGCUUCUGUGCCGUGCACUUGCCAUUGGUUGGGCCAGCAUCGGUUUGGACGGCGGGAUAAAGACCUAAGGAAUGUGGCUCCCUCCGGGGAGUGUUAUAGCCUUGAGUGCAAUGCCGCCAGUCUGGACCGAGGACCGCGCUUCGGCUAGGAUGCUGGCGUAAUGGUCUU
rnacentral:rRNA from 1 species